rnacentral:misc_RNA from 1 species
GAAGUGCGAUAAGCAAUGCGAAUUGCAGAAUUCCGCGAAUCAUCAGAUCUUUGAACGCAAAUGGCGCCAGAGGGAUAUCCUUUUGGCAUGUCUGUUUCAGUGUCUGAGAGGUUUCACACUAAUCUUAAUGUGAUUGACGAUGCAGUCGCUGUAUUUAUAUACAGCUUCAGCAAAGUCUCUCAUGAAAGAUGCGCAAGUGGAUCUUUUGGUCCAAUGAAGUGGUCACAUCAUCAAGCAUGUGAUUUCAUUGGAAUCACCAAAUUAUCCGUCACCUUGCGGCGCUUCACGGCGCACACUUAUUAUAACCACUCUAUACCCUGCAUCUGAGAUAGGCAAGAUCACCCGCUGAACUUAA